rnacentral:rRNA from 1 species
UACGUAGGGGGCAAGCGUUGUCCGGAUUUAUUGGGCGUAAAGAGCUCGUAGGCGGCCUGUUACGUCUGCUGUGAAAUCCCGGGGCUUAACCCCGGGCGUGCAGUGGAUACGGGCAGGCUGGAGGCAGGCAGGGGAGAACGGGAAUUCCCGGUGUAGCGGUGAAAUGCGCAGAUAUCGGGAGGAACACCGGUGGCGAAGGCGGUUCUCUGGGCCUGUACUGACGCUGAGGAGCGAAAGCGUGGGGAGCGAACAGG